GUUCAGAUGUAGUAAAGAAGAUGGAGUUUUCAUGGUGAAGAACCCAAUGUUGACUUUACAAAUGUACUGAUGGAGAACGUAGUUAAACCUGAGAAUAAUGAGGACCGAAGGAAAAUCUACAUCCUUCAGCUGUGACUUCUGCAAAGAUUUUUUGCCUAUUUCUGGCUCUGCAGUCCUGCAUGUAGCACGUGGCUUAUCCUUUCUAGAGCAAGCCAUCGCACACGGGUUAGAAACAACAUACGGUCCCUGGAUACAAUGGGACUUGGGGUAAGUGGAUUAAAUAGGUAUUGAGAUGUUGAACAGUGUUGUGUGCCUGGAUUCCUCAAGUGGAAUGGAUGUUUCUGAACUUGGGUAGGAGCUAGAACGUGCUACAGAGCCUGGGUUGUGGCACCGACGUGGUGCUAGCCAGGGUUUGUCAGAGUAAAGCAAGCUCUGGCCGUGUUUAGCUUUCUAGUGACAAG
rnacentral:lncRNA from 1 species